UGAGUAACCUGCCCUUAACUCUGGGAUAAGCCUGGGAAACUGGGUCUAAUACCGGAUAUGACUCCUCAUCGCAUGGUGGGGGGUGGAAAGCUUUUUGUGGUUUUGGAUGGACUCGCGGCCUAUCAGCUUGUUGGUGAGGUAAUGGCUCACCAAGGCAACGAUGCGUAGCCGACCUGAGAGGGUGAUCGGCCACAUUGGAACUGAGACACGGUCCAGACUCCGUACGGGAGGNAG
rnacentral:rRNA from 1 species